GGCCGACUAGCUCAGUUGGUUAGAGCGUCGUGCUAAUAUUGCUGAAUAUUCGGUAUUAACGCGAAGGUCUUGGGUUCGAUCCCCACGUUGGCCA